UACAUCGAAGUGCUUAUCGUGGGCCUAUUUUUUCUCUCUACAAAGUGUUUCCAUCUUUCUUUUAUUUUGAUUUUAUUAUUAUUAUUUUAUUUGCGUGCCUUUUAUCCACCAGGAGCUAUGUAACGCUACUGUUCUUAAUAACCACCCCACAUCAGUGACACCAUUUAGCUGGCACCCUGAAAAUUUAAAAAGAAAUCAAUUAAAGCAUAAAUUACGGUGUAGCCUCGAGUCGGUUACUCAAGGCUGCCCUUACUGGGUCACACUGCACAAAAAGGAACGAACCUCAGCAAACACAGCAUGCUCUACUCUAAAUUCCUGCAUUAAAAGAAAGCAAGCCAGUGUAUGAAUAACAAUAAAAUCGACGGUAAGAUAAUAAGAUGGUCAUAUCAGCCAAAUGUGUAAAAACUGUAUUACAUUAAGUGGACUCAAAGCAGAAGAUUCCUUUCAGUCUCUCACACAAGUUAAAUACAUUUACAAAAAAAAAGAAAAGAAAAAAAAGCUGCAUUCACCUGCUUCUUCAGGACUCGCAAACCUGCAGGCAUCCAACCCUCCCCUCUCCACUUUCAACACGAGUGGAGCGGAGUGUAGGAUCCGAUAGGCUUCCCCCAAAUCCUAUUAAAAUGACACCAAAUCUUCUCCCGAGCUUCCAAAAGAAGCAAGCCAACGUAUCCUCCCCCCACGAAAAAAGAAAAAAAAACUCCUCCCUGGGCUACACGCCGUGGAAGAAUCGCACCGCAGUCCAAUCCAAACCGCGCAAAGGCGCACAGCCGACACCCGGAGACACUCUCCCCUCUCCGCGUACAGACGGUCCCUUCGCCGCGGAUGUCUCUGGGUCUCCCGGGCUGUUUAGCUCUCAUUCACGCGCGGUCCAAACUGCAAUACGACCAGCGUGUGGAGGAACAGUGUUGGAAAUUCUUCAGUGAGAGAGGUGGGAUAAAAAAAAAAUCUACAGAAUAAAAAUAAAAGUCCUUAUUGGUUUAAUUCAACUUGUUUCCCGUCCGUCUCUCUCCGUGCGCCACCGCUCUCGGCUCCUCCACUGAUGCAAAUGCAGAGGGUUUGAGUCCCUUGCUAGCCACACACACACGCCCCUUUACGAGAGAGGAGCGCGCGGGCGUGCGCGUGUCGGUGUGUGAGUCUCUGCAACGCUUAUGCAGAUUUCAUUCAACUGCCUUUCUCUACCUGCCCGUGGGCUUCCUUGGCCCCUUC
ensembl:lncRNA